rnacentral:rRNA from 1 species
UACGGGAGGCAGUAGUGGGGAAUAUUGCACAAUGGGCGAAAGCCUGAUGCAGCUAUGCCGCGUGUAUGAAGAAGGCCUUAGGGUUGUAAAGUACUUUCAUCGGGGAGGAAAAACAAAACUAAUAAUUUUAUUUCUUGACGUUACCCGAAAAAGAAGCACCGGCUAACUCCGUGCCAGCAGCCGCGGUAAUACGGAGGGUGCUAGCGUUAAUCAGAAUUACUGGGCGUAAAGAGCACGUAGGUGGUUUUUUUAAGUCAGAUGUGAAAUCCCUGGGCUUAACCUAGGAACUGCAUUUUGAAACUGAAAUACUAGAGUAUCGUAGAGGGAGGUAGAAUUCUAGGUGUAGCGGUGAAAUGCGUAGAUAUCUGGAGGAAUACCUGUGGCGAAAGCGGCCUCCUAAACGAAUACUGACACUGAGGGUGCGAAAGCGUGGGGAGCAAACAGGGAUUAGAUACC